AACUACUCUCUCUCAGAAAUACUGUAUCAGCCCUACUAUGUCUGAGAAGACUACCUAGUUCUAACUUUUUUCCUUUGGUAUAUUCAGCACUGAAUUAUUUUGAGAGUUUCAUCUUCUACUUUUAUUUGCAAAUAAAAUAGAAAAGAAUAGCAAACGUAAAACCAAAAUAUAAAAAGAUCACUGUUUAGCAUGUCAGAGAUGUUUAAGAGGACAUCCUUUAUCACCUUUAAGAGUGAAAUAUGACUGGAAACAUAACCAAAUUCUGGUGUGGCUAUUUAAAUGUCAGGUUUUGGGCACAGAAGAGAGAAGUGCCUAAUGGGGGUGAUUUAAUCAUGGCCAUUUUCAUCUGCC
rnacentral:lncRNA from 1 species